UUAGGAAUAUUGGGCAAUGGAGGGAACUCUGACCCAGCAACGCCGCGUGAAGGAAGAAGGUUUUCGGAUUGUAAACUUCUGAUCUGUGGGAAGAAGAAAGUGACGGUACCACAGGAGCAAGCCACGGCUAACUACGUGCCAGCAGCCGCGGUAAUACGUAGGUGGCAAGCGUUGUCCGGAAUAACUGGGCGUAAAGGGAGUGUAGGUGGUUGUUUAAGUGAAAUGUGAAAGACCGAGGCUCAACUUCGGAACUGCAUUUCAUACUGGACGACUAGAGUGCAGAAGGGGUAUGCGGAAUUCCUAGUGUAGCGGUGGAAUGCGUAGAUAUUAGGAAGAACACCAGAGGCGAAGGCGGCAUACUGGGAUGUAACUGACACUGAGACUCGAAAGCGUGGGGAUCAAACAGG
rnacentral:rRNA from 1 species